rnacentral:lncRNA from 1 species
AAUCAUAAUAUAUCAGAUCAAAACUGUUGGAUUACAAUAGUGGAUAUUAUAGGAGGAACAUCAUCCAAAUGUGAUGCAUAAUCUAACAAUUUUCUUGACAACAAAACUUAAACUAAAAAUAUCGAUCUUAACUGAGGAACAACAUCCGAUAGGAAUGUCAUCCCUACAACAUAACUAAAACUAAAUGCAUAUGUCAUCAUAAUCAUCAUGAAACGGAUCAUUGACAACAUCGUUGCAGUAUAAUCGCCAUGCUCCCACAUACUCAUCCAUUUAUCUUUUGAAUCUACAACCAAGAAAACAAAAAUGAACUAUUAACACACAAUACCUUGACAUGAUGCAAGUAGUAAUAUAGGCAAAUAUUAGUCAUGUACAAAGGUUGAAGGCCAUGCAAUCUUUUCUUUUUAUGCAGUAUUGCAGUUUUUGUGACUUCAUACCAAAUUUUCAGUUUGCACUAGUGCCAUAUCGACAUGCACUGCCCAGAAUUCAUUUCUAAUUUCAGGACCAUCAAGUUUAAAUUUAGGACCAGAACUUACCAUUGUAUCUAGAGCUACACCCUUGUUAUGAUUUUUCGGGCUCUUCAAGAAUACUUUAGUUCCUGCCUGUUAGAAAAAAUAAAAGUUGCCAUAUGAGAAGACAGAAACAAAACAGGGG